AUGGCAUCUUUCAGGAAGUUGGUUCGGGAAAUCUCAGACCAUAAUCCUUUACUUCUCUCUGAUGGAGAAGAGGGGCAUGAAGCUCCUAAGCCUCGUGAGUUUCGUUUCAACAUUCCUUGGAUUAAAGAUGAAAAUUUCCUUCCUACUGUGAGUAGGAUCUGGUCGAGGAAAGUGCACUCCUCGGACCCUAUUGAUAUCUUAAAUAUCAAACUUAAGAGGUUUAAGAAUUACUUUAAAGGGUGGGGGUCCAACAAGUAUGGUCAUGACAAGAGAAGGAAAGAAGAGCUUAGGUUGGAGUUAGCCUUAUUGGAAGAAUUGGAAGAAAAUGGCCCCCUAUCCCCUGAGAUGUACAGUAACAAAAUGGAUAUUAGUAUGGAACUGCAUGAGCUUUUGGUGAACGAAGAGAUCUUUUGGUUGCAGCAAUCUCAUGAAAGAUGGCUGCUGAAAGGGGAUCUCAAUACUGACUACUAUCAUAAGAUUGCGAACGGGCGUAAAAGGAAAAACACGAUCCAUUCCCUGAAAGUUGGGGAUGUGGAAAUAGAAGGGACUAGUAAUUUGAUUGCUCAUGCAACAGAGUACUACAAAAACCUUUUCGGACCUGCACCCGGCAAUGAGUUCCAUAUGGAUCCUGAUACUUGGACCAUUAAUGAAAAACUUGAUGAGGAGCAUAAUGCUGAUUUGUGUCGGGUCUUUACGGAGACUGAAGUUAAGGAAGCUCUGUUUGCU
rnacentral:rRNA from 1 species